CCCCCGGGGCAAGGAGGGGAGGCCAGGCAGCCGGAAGGAAACUCCUGAGCUUUUUACGGAAUGCACAAGACAAAAGCCAUGUUUUGUUCAGUCCUUCAGAAGAUAGAAAUUGAACACCUGACUUGUGGACAGCACCUCUAAACACUGCAGAGAGAGAUUCAGAGAUGAAUAGCCCUGGCCCUUAGGGUUCUUGCGGUCACAAGCACCGUCCAGUAAGAGCAGCCCAUGGUUAUGAGUAACAAGAGCAGACACUACGGCAGGCACUUGGUUUAGGGACAUUGCCUUGUUUCAUCCUCACGGUGACUUCAGGAGGACAGUGCCAUCGUUACGCCGUUUAACAGAUGGUAAAACUGAGGCCCAGAGAGGGGAGUGCCUUGCUUCAGAUGACUCAGCAACGCAGUGGCUGAGCAAGGAUUUGAACUCAGGCAGAAUGGUGGCAGAGCCUGUUUGCCUAACUUCUAAAUUUCCCUAACUCUCUAGAACAGAGGGUAGUAGGAGUGCAGCAGACAGGACAACUAACCCUGCCUGGAAAAGUCAUGGUGGGCUUCCCGGAGGAGGCGUCCUUAGGCUGGGGCUUGAAGACGAGGUAUUUACCAGACAAAUAGUGGAGAAGAAGGCUGUCUUAAACAGAAAAAACUUCUUAUGUGGUCCUGGGUUCUGAGGGCCCAGCUCUUCUCACCCUCCUUCUCCGAGGAGUGGGGGAACGGAAGUGCAGAGCCUUCGUGUUUUACCCUCCUUCUCCGAGGAGUGGGGAACGGAAGUGCAGAGCCUUUAUGUUUUGUGACAGUGGAAUCCCUGACCUGUGGUCCACAACCUCCCUGCCAGGUGGAGGUGAUAGACCCAUUUUAUAGAUGAAGAAAAUCUGGUAGAGCUGAGUGCUGCUUGCUCUGCAGCUGGUCCAAGAAGCUUCACCUCCCAGGAGCACCAGACAGAUGAUCUCCUGUUUACAGUGGUUCCAGGAGCACCAACCCCAAGGAUGAGUUAUAAGCAGGUCUCUAAAGAGAUUUUAGGAGAAGCUGCUAAAAUGGUGGCAAAGCUCUUUAGAAACAUAGAAGUAUGAACCUUUUUAUGGGGAGAACUUAUAAGAGUUUGGAGAGGUCUUCCAGGUCCACACAACCUCCCUGGAAAUGGCAAGGAGUUAUAAUUUCCAUUUUACAGAUGAAAAAUGAAAAAGAGGAGAAGGGGAUGCCAUUUGCUCAAGGCUGCUGGAACGCUAGGCUGGCUCUGGGACUAUCACGAAAAGUUUCUAACCCCCCGCCACGGCUCUUCUCACAACACAAGAAUGAGCUCAGAGAGGUUAAUGAACCUGCCAAAGACCCCAGCUGAGAGACUGAGUUGGUUUGCAGAUUCCAAAGCCCACAUUCAUUCCAUUUUAUCUCAUCUUUAGUGGACUUUGAACAUGCCUCAGCCUUCACCUUGACCCUUGGUGAAGGUGCUGAGAACCAAGACCCAGUGCAGCGGUGUCUCUGGAACCUCCUGGAGCUCAGCAGCCGACUCCCAAACCUGGAGGUCCUCACUCUGCACCCUGUGCUCUGCCCUCUGGCUGAUCCUCAGCAUUCCCAGGCAGCCUGGCUCCCUGUAAAGUUGUUUAAACUUCUGUUUAUCAUCAUCUUCCAUCAUUUCUAAUUGUUUUCCUGUGUCCCUUUCUUUUGUAGAGGAUAUAAACUCAGCAUUUUAGCUUUUGAAAUAGAUUUGCUGUGCAGUUUCAUGGCUCUUUAGUGGCUUAAAAUGUAUUGUUCUGUGAGUCUUUCUGUGCCCGUCACAGCAUUCACUGUGGGAAGCAGCAGGACGCCAGCGAUGCUGAUGUUUAUUUGAUUUUAGGGGACUUUAAGGCAUUCCUGGGACCAUACGGAUUCUAAAUAUUCUGCCUCAUUGUCUUCAGAAGCUACUAAAAUAUCCUAGAAAUGAUCAUGUUUCAGCAUGUAAGCUACAUAUUUCACGUUACCUCUUGUAUCCAUCCAUACAUAGCCUCUAUCAAGAGCCUGGCAUAAGCCAAUGUAAUGGUUCUGAAAUGGUAACCACAUGGUUCUUCAAUCACUAAAACCCUUUCCACUCUGAGAUUGGACAUUCAUUGCUAUUUUCUGCCAGGGCUUUGAUUUACAAGACUGUCUAUGAGUUCUGUGUUUAAUAUACAGAACUGGCUGCCCUCAAUGCAUGAGACUUCCUGGUAUUUUUUUCAUGUGAUUAGAUGGAUUACAUUUGUUUCAUAUUUAUUGUUUAGAUAUACAAGUAAUCCUCACUUUGCACAGUGUCAUGUCUGCAUAUUGAAACCCUAUACUCACUUUGUGCAAUCCUUUGGUAAGUGCAAAGUGAGAACACAGGUCUGAUAUGUACAAGUUUCAGUGAACAUGGUACUAUGCAUCAUGAAGACUAUCUGAAGUUGCUUUCAAAUAAAAUUUGGAUAAGGACUGUA
rnacentral:lncRNA from 1 species